GGUUAAGUCCUGCAACGAGCGCAACCCCUGUUUCCAGUUGCCAUCAGUAAAUUGGGGACGUCUGGAGAGACUGCCUGCGCAAGCAGAGAGGAAGGUGGGGAUGACGUCAAGUCAGCACGGCCCUUACGUCCAGGGCUACACACGUGCUACAAUGGCCGGUACAGAGGGCAGCGACCUGGUGACAGGUAGCGAAUCUCCAAAGCCGGUCUCAGUUCGGAUCGGAGUCUGCAACUCGACUCCGUGAAGCUGGAUUCGCUAGUAAUCGGAUAUCAGCAAUGAUCCGGUGAAUACGUUCCCGGGCCUU
rnacentral:rRNA from 1 species